ensembl:lncRNA
AUGAAACUAGGAGCUCUUCUGCUGCUGCUUCUGGGGUCCUUGCAAGGGGUCUUCACUCAAGUACCUAUAACUGCAUUUACUGAAAGAACAGCUGUGGAGGAAGGUCUAGGAAGUGGUCUGUUAGAGGUGGAACAGGAAGAUGAACUGGCAGACACUUACUGGUCUGGGACAGCCCCCCUUUGUUUCGCAGGGUGUAAAGGCAGACACAGGGAGCUGAAGAGAGACAACUGUGGAGAUUCAGACUGCUGCUGGGUGGGAUAUAAAUCCCUGUGUAGAGUGAAUUGUGGAAAGCCUGAUGUGGAUUUUAAUGGGAUUGUGUAUGGGAGUGAUUGGUGGGUGGGCUCUGUGGUGCGGUAUGACUGCAGACCAGGGUUCGUGUUGGUGGGAGAUCCUGCCCGAGCCUGUCAGUCUAAUGGGAAAUGGACGCCCAAACCAUCCUGUCUUAGAGUGUGUUAUCGUGGCCGGGUUGAGAUCAAUGAGAAGGACAUCGACGGGACAUGUUCGUCCACCUGUCCUGAUGCUAAAACCUAUGCAGUCCCUCAGAACCACAAAUGCAGUCGUAUUGAGAACUGCAGAACUAAAGAAUCAGGCUGGAAGCACUGGUUUACACGCUGCAACUACUGCGACUGUGACUGCUUCACUCCUUGUGGUAAGUUUUUGUAGAGUCAUUUAA